ACGCAGCAUUGACGGCGGCUGAUGGUAAGUCAGAAAAGAUAAUGAGACGACUGGGUUACUUUAUACCUACUUAUCUUUACUCAAAGUGUAUUUUAAGUCGUGUGCUUGACGCAGAACUCGCUCAGCUGUUCAUCCUGAAGUCUUAAAGAGUCUGAAAAGCUUUCGGUAUAUUAUUGCCAUAGCAUAAAGAGACGCCUGGACGCCGCUUAAGUGUCGUCGAUAAAGGGAGAUACUUAUGAUACAGAGUCUGGCGAAUAAAAGAAACAAGGAAACACGAGAAAGAGAAGAAACGAUGUAUCUCUAAGAGGCGACACAAACCAGGUGUCGGUUUGGCACGACGACCACAAUUCCAGUCAGGCUUCUCUCUCGCCAGUUAUGGCUUUUUUGCCGGGCAGUAGAAGCCAAUUAUUAUUCAAGGGCAUAACGAGUAUGCACACAGCACGAAGCUCUUUUGGGACUUACAGCGAGAACGCGAGGGCCCAUGCUGCAGUUCAGAGUAAUCAGGAAAAAUUCUUCCUGGUUUCACCGAGUAUAUGCAAACAAAUGAAAAAGUCCCAGCAUCCGUUAACGGACGUCCAUAAACAUUUCACGUGUACCAUUUGCAGUACUAUUGAAUAUAAUUUUUUUCCCAAUUUUUACA